rnacentral:rRNA from 1 species
CCUUAUCAUUUAGAGGAAGGAGAAGUCGUAACAAGGUUACCGUAGUUGAACCUACGGUAGGAUCAUU